AAGCAGAAAUGGUGGCCAGAGGUUGCCCUGGGAAGAUUUCAGUGUGGAGCAUGGAACACCACCCUGCUGCCGAGCACAACAUGCAGAGUUCUUAAUCGUGAGCCCCAGACAUUUGGGAAAACAGGACAAGGAUUCCCCUCCUCUGAAACUCUGACAGUUAUAGGAGUAGAAGCAAGCAAAGACUUGUCUGAUUACUUAAUCCAAAGCCACAUCCUCCACUCCACGGCUGCCAAAGUGAACCACAGGCAAGAGCUUGCUAUCAGCCAUGGGAAUUUACAAGCUUUCCAACGUGACUGAAGAAAUCCAGGAAACCACAAUGACAGAUCCACUUGAAACAACCAUUUCAUGUGUGAUUGCAGAAGGGCUCCGUGCUGGUCUGAAACCUCAAGUUACAGAAGCCCAGUGGGAAGAGAAGAAGAGUUAAAUGGAUGCUUGGGAGGCACAUUAGCUGGAGCUGACUGAACAGAUUUUACUAGGUGAUGAAGAUGUCUUCCUCUAAACUCCCCUUGGUUGCUUCCCCUCCAUGAUGAAUCUUUUCCUUUAAGUCACUUUAGAAGCAGCACUACUGGGAAGCAGCAGGAAUCCUCCUGCAAGAGAUGAGGAUUCACGUCAGGAUGACACUGCUGACAAUUCACAGUACAUCAACACAGCUGCUAUUUCUGUUGUCAGAGAAGCCUCUACACUCUGAAUCUCUCAUGAACAAGGCCUUACUCCACUCAUUUUCUUAGGAAACAGUCCUGCUGGUUUCAGAAACAUCAAAAUAAGGUCUGAAAUGCUGAAACUAUAAGUGCAGUCCUGAGGGCUGAAUACUGAUGCUCAGACCUUCUUGGGUGGUAUCAGGACCUGCCAGCCUCAAACAACACCCUCUUUCUUCGCAUUAGAAAUGGAAACACGUCCUCUGCAGGAAUUUUCCACUUAAUAGCUCCUGCUUUCCUACCGGGGGCCUCAGUGCACCACCACUGCAAUGCUGUAUUUCUUUCCACUGCAGUUUGACAUUUUGCAGCCAGAACAACGAACGGCAUUGACUCCAUCCUGAUUUCUGAAAAACAUAUCUCUAUAGGCCCACAGAACACACCCAGUGCAGCAAUCACCAGGGGAAAAUGGCAAAGGUCCUGACACUGUGAGGAGCAGAAAAGCACAUUGCAGAUAAUCUGAGCAGUAAAUGAGGAGCCUGCUUUAAAAUGUGCCGAGUGACCUGUCUGAAGGCAGCAAUAUUUGCAGAUUGUUUACUGCUGAGAUGCAGUGAUGUCGCUGAAAUGCAGCAGCUUGAAGAUUGGAGCAAAAUGGGAUCUCAGACACUCGGUCAAGCACAACCUGUAAUUUUUUUACUUAUUGUUUGUCUUCUGCUUUUUUUAAAGUUAGAGCUGUAUUAUAAAUUAUU